rnacentral:rRNA from 2 species
GUCGAGCGCACAGGUUUACCUGUGAGCGGCAGACGGGUGAGUAACGCGUGGGAAUCUACCUUAAGCUGCGGAAUAACAGAGAGAAAUUUCUGCUAAUGCCGCAUGUGCCCGGAAGGGGAAAGAUUUAUCGGCUUAAGAUGAGCCCGCGUUGGAUUAGCUGGUUGGUGGGGUAAAGGCCUACCAAGGCGACGAUCCAUAGCUGGUCUGAGAGGAUGAUCAGCCACACUGUGACUGAGACACGGCCCAGACUCCUACGGGAAGCAGCAGUGGGGAAUAUUGGACAAUGGGCGCAAGCCUGAUCCAGCCAUGCCGCGUGAGUGAUGAAGGCCUUAGGGUUGUAAAGCUCUUUCACCGGGGAAGAUAAUGACGGUACCCGGAGAAGAAGCCCCGGCUAACUUCGUGCCAGCAGCCGCGGUAAUACGAAGGGGGCUAGCGUUGUUCGGAAUUACUGGGCGUAAAGAGCGCGUAGGCGGAAAAGUAAGUCAGGGGUGAAAUCCCGGGGCUCAACCCCGGAAUUGCCUUUGAUACUGUUUUUCUUGAGUGCAGAAGAGGUAAGUGGAAUUCCGAGUGUAGAGGUGAAAUUCGUAGAUAUUCGGAAGAACACCGGUGGCGAAGGCGGCUUACUGGUCUGCAACUGACGCUGAGGCGCGAAAGCGUGGGGAGCAAACAGGAUUAGAUACCCUGGUAGUCCACGCUGUAAACGAUGGAAGCCAGCUAUUGGGCAGUUUACUGCUCGGCAGCGCAGCUAACGCAUUAAGCUUCCCGCCU